GUUCUCCAGUGACGUCACGGCAGAGGCGCUGAGGGGUUUAGGCCUGUUAGGGGACAAAUGAGCCCACAAAGGAAAUGCAGGUCAAGCUGGUGUUGAAAGAUGCAUACAGUGCAUUAUAGCGUCGGACAGUCAAUUUCAAAUUACAAUGUCCAGCUCUGACUGCAUGCUGUAAUUCCAUUUGGCCACAGCAUCAGGACUAACGUCACUUCACAGAAUCAGCAAGGUUGGAAGAGACCUCUGAGAUCAUCAAGUCCAACCAUCCACCCAGCACAAUCACUGAGACCCCUAAACCAUCAGACCUUAUCACCCAGUACCAGAUCCAGACACCUUUUGACCACCUCCAGGGAUGGUGACUCCACCACCCCCAGUAACCUAUUCCAGUGCCUUACAGCACUAAGAGUGAAAAAUAAAUCCCAGUAUCUAAUGUGAAUCUCCCCUGUCUGAGCUUUAGGCCAUCUCCUCUCGUCCCCUCACUGCAGGUGCAGCAGGAGAGACUCGAGCUGCCUUUCAGGGAGCUGCAGAGGGUGGUGAGGUCCCUCCUGAGCCCUCUCCAGGAUAAACAAACCCAGCUCCCUCAGCUGUUCCUCACAGGACGUGUUUCCUGGAGCACCCAUGAGCCUUGCUGCCCUUCACUGGACACACUCCAGCACCUCAAUUUCCCUUUGAAAGGGAGGGGCCCAAAACUGAACGCAGUGCUGGAAGCUGCCAUGUAUUUUCUUCUCUUUGGAACAGACUUGGCUAAUAGCUACUCCUGUCUGCUGAAGAAAAUCUGCAUUAUAUCCCCAAUCUCACGUAAUCAUUCCAUCAUGUAGUUGAAACCUUUAUAGGAAUGCUACAGAUGCAUUUGUGUUAAUCCUUUCUCCUGUAAGUUUCUUCCUAGUCAGUUUUUGAGAGUUCUUCCAGGAGAACUAGAUGAAUACCCAGAUACUUUAUUUCAAACUACAUUCCAUUUAUCUAAGGUCAGGAAAUGUGAUGUAGGAAAUAAUUCCACAUUAACUGAAAGAUGGGUAAUUUAGCCUGUCAGGUCUUUUCCAUUCAUAAUUAGCACAUUCUCUGUGUCCUGUGGAGCAGCUGUGCUAUGCUCACCACAAAGUGAUAGUGUCCCUCAGACUUCCCAUAGCACAGUCAGGCAAUUACAGAGUCUUGGUAGCUGUCAUCUUACAGAGAACUAUGUGAAAGUAGGGAGUGUCUAGAUUAGGUCCACAAAGAUCUUUUAAAGUACUCUUUACUCUUCCUUUUGAUAGUAACUGAAAUAAUUGACAUGGACAACGUCCCUGUUUUUUCCAUUCCUUUUGUUCAGUCUGACUGCUUAGUUAAGAAUCUCUGAAAUACUAGAUUAUCAGACAGAAGAAAUGCCAGAGAUUUUAAUAGCAUAUUCUUCCACAUAAAAUGCAGAUUUGUGUCUUCCAAUAUAGCCCAUUACAUGUUUAUAUAAUACAAGAAUAAAAAUGUAUAAACUACCAAUGAAAGUCCAUUAAAUAUGGUUGAAUGUUAUAGUAACUGUUUAGCUAUCAUCAGUUUCUAAAAUGAUACAGACAAUUACUGGGCAAGAAUUCAGUAUACAUUUACUUUAUUUCAAAAGAAUGCUCUGAAGUGCUCAUUUUUAGAGUUCUAGGUUUUUUAUUACAAUUACAAGAUGAAUGAUGAAAGCUUUUCCACCCAGAAAACAUUUCCUUGUGCCUAUUAAGCAAAGAAUUUGUAAAUAUUGUGGAAAACAUUGUGACCUCAACAAUCAAUACACAAUUCAAACAAGAUGAUGUAUCAUAGAUAGCAGUAGCAUGAAUUAUACUUUCUAUAUAAGAUGGUUUUGUGGAACCUGGAUGUUGGGCAAAUACUUCUUGUAGCUAAUAAUUAAAUGUCACAACACACCUACUUGCACUGGAUUAUCCCAAAGACAUUCUCAAAAGAACAACUGUAUUGUGCAAACAAUCACUAAAAUUACAUUCCUUCUCUCUAAGAGUAUUUAGGUGGCAAAUUUAAGACCCAAGUCCUUACAAGUGCCAGAGGAUUUGUGUUACCCACAUAAACUGCCCUGACAGCUGUCUUACUGUACAGUAAUAAUUACUAAGGUCUGUGUUAGAACCAAUGUAAUUUGCAAUAUAUGCCGAGAAUAAAUAUCUAACAUCCAAAUAUUAACUAAUCAAAGGCAUGGGCUUUCAUAUAUACACACAAUAGGACAACACUGAAAAAGUAGAAAGCUGUACAUUUUACAGGUUUUCAAAUAUAUUCUCACUUACUUGAUGAUGUAUCAAUUUUGAAUCCAAAGUACAUUUACACAAAUGUUUUCUUUUCACAUGGAAGACAAAGUCCAAGCCACAGUACAGCAGAGUAGCCUUGCACAGCUAUCCCAUGUUAGAGAUGGCAGGUGCUGAGACAGGACAUGAACCAGCCUCUGAUUUCCUGGGGGCUGGCAUCACUCAGCUCCAGCUCCAUACCCACUUCAGUCCACAGCCUGCCUUCCUGGACUCUCUUGGCUGCCAAAGGAAAAACUAAUUUUCUCCUGCAGGACAUUCAGAUCAGAAGCUUCUCUGAAUGGAGCUUACUUUGCGUUGGCAUUUUUUUAUUUACUAUGGGAUGAACAGCCAGCUCACUCAGCUGACAGACACUGGGCAGGAAGACCAUGCUUCUUACCAUUAACCUUGUUCCUUUUCAGCUUCUGCUCAACACAGCUGCCACUUAUCCUCUGUUUCUGCCACAGUAUACUGCUAUCACAAGUCCAGCUGUUACAUUUUGUGAGCUGUUCUAAACUCCUCAAGAAGAUUCCAUCCCAUGGUAAAU